CAACCUGGGGAGGGAGGGGCUGGAGACUGAGAAUCACCAGUGGUCAGUGAUGACGCCUGUUCAAUGAAGUCGCCAGAAAAACCCAAGAGGACUGGGUUCAGAGGGCGUCUAGGUCGGUGAUCGCGUGGAAAAUGGGGAGGGUGGCCCCCUGGAGAGCAUGCCCUUUCCCCACACCUUGCCCUGUGCAUCCCUUCUGUCUGGCUGUCCCUGAGUUAUACCCUCUGAUAGUAAACUGGUGAUCUGGUAGCACUUGUUGCCCAGACAGUACCGCCACAGGCCCUGGUGGGCAAAGGACCCGGACAGCCGGUACUGCAUCCAGUGAUCUGUCGCUGUGGCCACCACCAGGAGGAUGGUCCCCACCCAGGCACAGAAGAGGCCGCCACCCAUGAAGCUGUACAUGGUGAUCUAUGGAGAAGGCGAGAGACAGACAGACAGACAGACAGCUCUACCAGAACUUCAGCAUCAGACAGAACCCAGCUCCAGGCUGCCUCGCUCAUGGUCCUGUGCUGGAUGAUGCUGAUGGCUCGGAGGUAUCACUGGUCCUUGAAGGGCUGACUUGAGGGGUGGGGGACAGGCACAGAGAUGGACGACGGUAACAUUCCAGGGCGAUCAGAGCCGGGACACUGGAACAGGCCAGUGAGAGCCCCAAGCCCGGGAGGGAAGGGAAUGCUGCCUGGGGGCAAAGGGGUGACGUGAGGGAAGGGGGUCAGGAAAACUUUGCUGCCUGCCAGCGAGGGGCAGGGUUGGUUGGUUGGUUGGUUGGUUUCGUUUUUGGUUUUUUGUGUGUUUUGUUUUGUUUAGGGGAGGUGGCUUUUGGGCUAGGUCUAGAGUGAGAAGAAAUGGUGUGAGCAAAGGCCAGGUGGCUGGACCGAAAAGAUUUGAUCAUUGAAGCCAAGACUUUCUCAGCGAGUGUGAUUAGGAUUUGGGUCUCAUCCUUUGGUUCUGUCGUAUCCCAGAGAGGCGUGGCUAUUUUGUCGAGACACAGGCCUUGGAAAUGAACGUUCGAAUCCCCGCUCCGCUACUUACAAGUCCGUGACCUAAAGCAAACUGCUUAAACUUUUGGGGUCCCCUGUUUCUUCGAGAGAUAGCCCUUCCUGGUCAAUUCCAACAUAAUGGAAUGGCUUUCGAUUUUGUUCUGCUACUGUUUCUAUUUCUGUGAAGAGGUCCGACGUCGACUUACCAAGAACCUGGCCCUUUAAGGCCCUCCUCCCACGCUAGGGAGCGGAGGCGGGCUCUAGUGUCUCUAAGGGAAUGUCCUGCAUCCGUUUUCCAACAUUGGGAGGCAAGUUCUGCAAGUGACCAAUCAACUCCUGCGUCGGGGGCAGCGAAACUUCCGAUUCGUGGGGAAACUCCAGCAGCGUUGCGUUUGAGCUCCGCCCACUCCGUGUUAGACAGCCGCGCGAUACAGUCAUUCUCGGCUCUGAUUGGCCAACAUCUCUUCUGGGCUCCUCAAUUUUGUGCCUGGCAAGUAGCAACCAUCCCCCAUGAGAGCUUUCUGUGAAGCAAUUAGGACUCUGACCUCCGGGGAAGGAGGAAGGACCUGCUCCCCUCGGAGAAAUAGACCCAUCUUCUCUCUUCACCGGCUGGUCGAUUCAGAGUACAUGGUGAAGAUUCUGCAAACUCUUCCUGCAGACGCCCAGACAGCAGACAUCUCGGACUCAGCUCUGCCUGCCGUGGGCCAGAGUCCUGCAUAAAAGAAUGGGCACAACUGUGAUCCAAUAAAACUUUAUUUAUGGACACCGGAAUUGG